UACGUAGGGGGCAAGCGUUAUCCGGAUUUACUGGGUGUAAAGGGAGCGCAGACGGCGAUGCAAGUCUGAAGUGAAAUUCCACGGCUUAACUGUGGAACUGCUUUGGAAACUGUAUUGCUAGAGUGCUGGAGAGGUAAGCGGAAUUCCCAGUGUAGCGGUGAAAUGCGUAGAUAUUGGGAAGAACACCGGUGGCGAAGGCGGCUUACUGGACAGUAACUGACGUUCAUGCUCGAAGGCGUGGGGAG
rnacentral:rRNA from 1 species